CGCUUCGAUAACUGAAGAACUUCUGUGCGGAAAACUCGAGGAAUCAUCUGACAACACCUCGCCACGAUUUAUUAUUUCCACUGUUAUCGUUUCCUCUUGAAUUUGUUCGUGCCGUCUGUCUGUAGAAGUAAUUUAUAAUGCAUGGAAAUUGCAGUCAUUCCGCGGCAUCGACCGAGGUCAUUAACGCCUUCCAAGAAAUUGAUACAUAAUAGAUGCUCACUUUGAGAAAAUUGCAGUCUACGUACAAUGUUUUUCCUCUGCAUGUCUUCUCUUAUUUUCAGUUUAGUCUUAUUUUUUUUUUUUUUUUUUAGGUGUUAGAAGGGAGAAAAUUUGUCACAACGACAGUAUUUCCGCAGACGCCGCGAACUUCACAGCAACAUUUCCUUGGUGUACUCUUUUCGUCAUUUUGAUCAAUGGAUUUGACAAAGACGAACAGCCGUCGAGGAGUAUCAACAGUUUACGAUUUCGAUUUGUAUCAGAUUUGGUGAAAGAAUGGAGGAUGAAGUAGCAAUUAAUUUCAGUAGUGAUAGGUUGUGAACAUGAAUUUACGAUGACUAUCGAGUAAUUCGGAAAAAUUAAACCUACGCGACAAAUGGAUAAAGGAUGUACAACAACGACUGGUCCUAUCAGGUGUUAGAAGGGAGAAAAUUUGUCGCAACGACAGUAUUUCCACAGACGCCGCGAACUUCACAGCAACAUUUCCUUGGUGUACUCUCUUCGUCAUUUUGAUCAAUGGAUUUGAUAAAGACGAACAGCCGUCGAGGAGUGUCGAUUUCGGUUUGUAUCAGGUAGUCGUAAUAUGUGAAACAUUAGCUUCUUGCUACAAAAUAUACCUAUUCGUCAUGACAGUUAUUGUCUGAAGUGGUUCUUCUAUGCAGAAUGUCCUUAUUAUCCCAAUAAUUAACAUUGCAAUCUGUUCUUCGUCCAAUGUUAUUGUUAACGUCUGAGCAAGUAAUACUGUUAUUCUUAAUUUAUUUUUGUGCUAGAUCGUUUGGCGUUUGAUUCUCUAUGAAGAAACGCAAUGUAGGUUAUUAAAAAUAAAACCUUAUAUAAUACGCUCGAUUGAAAGUAAAUAUCGUAGAAUUGACUGAAAAUGACAAGCUUUCUAUAUUGCAGAAUUGGUGAAAGAAUAGAAGAUGAACCACCAAUUAAAUUCAGUUGUGAUUGGUUAUGGACAUAAAUUUACGACGACUAACGGGUAAUUUGGAAAAAUAAGAGAUAAGCGAAAAAUGGACAAGAAAUAUACAACAACUGAUCUAUCAAGGAAGAAACGACUCUCAGGUAUUCUCAUUAUUGUCUAUUGUUAAUUUAGAUAUCACAAUAUUUGAGAAGAAGAAUUUUGAAAAUAUCCAAAUUUUUGUAAAAUUUCAAGCUAAAAAUAGUACACUUAUUUUAUAAGCACCAUAUAUUGUUCAUCUGCAGAUUUUCUGUAGAUCUUUAUGUUAAUCUAAGAAUUUAUUAUUAGUUCUAAGAAAGUGCACCUUAUGAUCUCGCAAUAUAUAUAGUGUGGCGUAAUAACAUAUCAUGAAAGAAGUGCUGCUUAUUAUCAUACUAUGACUUCCAUGUAGCUAAAUUAUAAAACGUCAGACGAAUUUUAUCCAUGCACGAGGAGUUAUUUCACUUUUUACAAAAAAAAAAAAAAAUGAAAUAUGCUACAUUUUAAUAAUUUCAAUAAUUGGAAUUGUCAUGUUGAAAUGUAUGGAAUUACAUAAAGAUUAACGAUUCUAAACUCACAAACUUCUUCGACCAUUCCGAAAGGGAAAAGAAAUAUUCGUUUACUAUCGAUCGAUGAUCGCAUGAAAAAAUCAACCAUAAGUUCGAUUCGUGGUUUUAGACAAAGAUCACAGGGGAAAUGCAUCAUAAGUCACAUUUCCUACGUUUUAAAAAAAUGGAAUUGCAAGAUUAUCAAAAUUGUGUUU
rnacentral:lncRNA from 1 species